UACAGAGGUCUCAAGCGUUGUUCGGAUUCACUGGGCGUAAAGGGUGCGUAGGUGGUGAGGUAAGUCGGAUGUGAAAUCUCCGAGCUCAACUCGGAAACUGCAUUGGAAACUACCUUGCUCGAGGGUUGGAGGGGGGACUGGAAUGCUUGGUGUAGCAGUGAAAUGCGUAGAUAUCAAGCGGAACACCAGUGGCGAAGGCGAGUCCCUGGACAACUCCUGACACUGAGGCACGAAAGCUAGGGGAGCAAACAGG
rnacentral:rRNA from 1 species